AAGGGGAGUUGUUGUUGUUAUCUUGAUCUUGCCUUGAAGAAUCCCCUUCGAAUCGAGGCCGACUCGUGGAAUCGGCCCGCUCGAUUUUCGAAUGGUCCCUGAACACAUUCUCCAAGGUAGCCUUGUAUUCGAACGCGUAUUUCAAGUAAUUCAUCGUGUAGCGAGUCAAGGGAUGUACGGCCCCUCCAGGUACCGGAGUCUUCCCGCGGUCGUUCUUGAUCGAGUUCUCUAAAUCGUUGAAUAUGUUGAUUGCAGCUUCUCCGAUUCUUCCCUUUACCGUUGCGGCUUCCGAUUUCAGCUCGUUUCCUGAUUCCUCAGGGAACAAACCCUCGAUUGCCGCAAAUCCGUCCCGCAGCGUCUCGUACAUAUCGAGGAACUUGAAGAGCUUCUCCGUGGAGCGCUUGGACAUGGCAACGCCUUCUGCGAAGUUGAGGAACUGGAUCAGGACUCCUCUCGCGAGGUUUGUGAAGAGAACGGAAGAGGACAAGGCCGACGAUGGUGAUGAUUCGUUGCCGGAGGGGAAAAUAGAAUGGACUAGUUUGUGCUCUUUGGGGAAAUGAAUGGUGGCGCAUUCCUUCAUGAUUGCUGUCAUGAUCGGGAUUUCCUUUUCCAAAUUCUCCCACGCCAUCUUAUGCAGCUCGUCGAUGCUAAUCUUCUCGAAUCCCGAUUGGACCAGGCAUUCGUCGAUUGCGUGUCGUCGGAUUAUCAUGUAGACCUGGCAGCACUCGGAUUCAUAUCCGGCGGUGAUCAUAGCUUCCCCAAUUUUCCUCAAAUUGGUCACCACUUCCUCCUCGUAACCAGGGUAAGGAGAUUCGUAUUGAUCCUCUUGAUCAUUUUUAGAUUCUGAUUCUGGCAGUGGGCUAUGAUAUUCCUCACCUCCUUCCGGAUUUCCGCCUUGAGCAGGCGAAUCAGGUUCGACCGGCUUCGACUGUUCUUCAAGGAGGUACCUGAACUCAUCCUCCAAGUAUACCAUCGCUUUGUGAUGGAUAAAUCCGAUUCGGUUGGCAAGUGGGGCGUGAACUGGAUCUGAUUUGAAGUAGCCGCUGAAGGAAGUUGUCAACCUGGUGAGGCGACUAACCAUCACCAGAAAUGCUGAGUCGUGAUCAGGGGAUUUACACCAUUUACCUCCUUUCCUAUCAUCUUGAUCAUCCGAGUCGCGUUCGGUUAUCUUCGCCUCGACGAGAUCCACGAACUUGUUGAUGAAUUCUGGCAUCUCAAUUGAAUAGAUCUUCUUCUCGCUCUCUGACUUCUUAUCCACAUCCUCCUCUUUCUUCUCAUUUUCAUUCUCCUUCUCAUGCUCAUUCUCAUUUUCCUUUUCAGGUUCGGAAUCUUCAGACUUCUUUUCUCCAUCUUUGAUUUCGUCACCUACAGCUUUCUCGCCCUGAUCAGUAAGAUCUUCAUUCUUAUUUUUAUCUCCAUCUCCUUUAUCAACAAUGACUUCUUGGUUUUGUUGGGCGGAUAUUUCUUGAUAGAAUUCUAUCAUUUUUUCGGGUAGAGAAGACAAAAAUUGAUCGAUGUUAGGGGAAAGCGUUUCCAGCGUUAUGUGGAUUUCUUCAGGAUGAGGAGGAGAGGAAAUGUCUUCGUUUUGUUCCGCCGGUUUGGAGUCAGGAUCUGUUUCGGAGU
rnacentral:lncRNA from 1 species